rnacentral:tRNA from 1 species
GCCCGCUUGGUCUAGCGGUUAGGAUGCCACCCUGUCACGGUGGCGGUGCGGGUUCGAUUCCCGCAGCGGGCG